GUUGGGCACUGAAUGCUAAUGCUAAACCACUGCAGAACAAAUGUAUCAUCUGGAAGCUGAAAGUUGACCAUGAAUGGCUGCUACCCCUUCAUGCUUUCACGUCCACACUCAGACGUGCACUUGAUCCACUCAUCAACUUGUUCUCCUUUUUCCUGCAGUGGGAGAUGAUACGAUCAGUUUAAUAGGACGGUGUGUGUGUGUGCUGCUCGGUAUAUCUGUGGAGGACAUCCACACAGAUGACGAGUACAUCAUACGCAAGAUCCUGAACCUGCGGCUGUUUGAAGAUGAGAAUGGUCGGGCUUGGAGCAAAAGUGUCAUGGACCGGGACUAUGAGGUUCUGUGUGUGAGCCAGUUUACACUACAGUGCAUACUGAAGGGCAACAAGCCGGACUUCCACUUGACGAUGCCCGCAGAAUUGGCCCAACCUUUCUAUGCCAGCAUCCUGGAGAACAUGAGGAGUGCCUAAAGGGAACUGGUGAAAAGUUGGGUCAACUAAUGACACCUUCACUUGGUAUGUUCUAAUAAAGUUUGACAUAACAUAAUAUUUGGAAAAAGAUUGCCUAAGUGUUAACCACUGGGUGUUUCCAAAUGCGCUGGUUAAAGGUGGGUCAACUAAGGACACCUUCAUACGGUAUGUUCUGAUAUAAUUUGGCAUUACAGACUAAUUGGUAAAAGAUAAUAUAUGCCCGAAAAGUGUUACCCUCUGAGCAUUUACACAUGCACUCAGUGGAGUCAAAAUUACAAUAGGCUCACAGUCUAAUUAAAUUACAGACAUGAGCUUUUUCAUUGACUGAAAUACUGUAAUUAUUUUACUUUUUU